UGGAUCACUCAAGCUCUCCAAUAUUUAUUGCAAUCCAUAUGAUGACAGACUACAAAUCUCAACAAACGACGUCUUUGUAAAUGCACACACAAAUUUUUAUCACUUUAUAAAACAGAAUACAUCCAGGAAAUCAAUUAGACGUGCAUGCUUUACAGUAUAUGCCUAGUCAACUAGCUAUUUAAAGUUUUACCAUAAAAAGAGCCACAAAACGAAUUGCAUGCAUAUAUUAUAUAAUCCGGGCAAAAAUUUGUCUGCAUGGAAGUCGUUCAAGGGAAACA